ACUCUUGUCGGCUCAGCGGCUCAGUGAAUACAUGUUGGGCUUGGGACCAAGUGGUUCCGGGUUCGAAUCCCAGCUAGGACA